rnacentral:hammerhead_ribozyme from 1 species
GUCCCUCUGACGAGCCUAAAAUAGGACGAAACACAUGUCUUGGAU